rnacentral:rRNA from 1 species
UUUGCGUCGAAGGUAUACCGGUAAGGAGUGCUGGAGCGAAUAGAAGUGAGCAUGCAGGCAUGAGUAGCGAUAAUUAAUGUGAGAAUCAUUAACGCCGUAAACCCAAGGUUUCCUACGCGAUGCUCGUCAUCGUAGGGUUAGUCGGGUCCUAAGUCGAGUCCGAAAGGGGUAGACGAUGGCAAAUUGGUUAAUAUUCCAAUACCAACAUUAGUGUGCGAUGGAAGGACGCUUAGGGCUAAGGGGGCUAGCGGAUGGAAGUGCUAGUCUAAGGUCGUAGGAGGUUGUACAGGCAAAUCCGUAUAACAAUACUCCGAGAACUGAAAGGCUUUUUGAAGUCUUCGGAUGGAUAGAAGAACCCCUGAUGCCGUCGAGCCAAGAAAAGUUUCUAAGUUUAGCUAAUGUUGCCCGUACCGUAAACCGACACAGGUGGGUGGGAUGAGUAUUCUAAGGCGCGUGGAAGAACUCUCUUUAAGGAACUCUGCAAAAUAGCACCGUA